CUUCGCCUACGGGACGCAGCAGUGGGGAAUAUUGCACAAUGGGGGGAACCCUGAUGCAGCGACGCCGCGUGGGUGAAGGAGUAUUUCGGUAUGUAAAGCCCUAUCAGCAGGGAAGAACAAUGACGGUACCUGAGUAAGAAGCACCGGCUAAAUACGUGCCAGCAGCCGCGGUAAUACGUAUGGUGCAAGCGUUAUCCGGAUCUACUGGGUGUAAAGGGAGCGCAGGCGGCACGGCAAGCCUGAUGUGAAAGCCCGCGGCCCAACCGCGGGACUGCAUUGGGAACUACCGGGCUGAAGUGCCGGAG
rnacentral:rRNA from 1 species